AACGCACAUUGCGCCCCUUGGUAUUCCAUGGGGCAUGCCUGUUCGAGCGUCAUUUGUACCCUCAAGCUCUGCUUGGUGUUGGGUGUUUGUCCUCUCCUUGCAGUUGGACUCGCCUCAAAGCAAUUGGCAGCCAGUGUAUUGGUUUUAAGCGCAGCACAUUUUGCGUCUUGCUCCCACUAACACUAGCAUCCAUCAAGCCAUUUUUAUCACUUUUGACCUCGGAUCAGGUAGGGAUACCCGCUGAACUUAA
rnacentral:misc_RNA from 1 species